AAUAUAAAUCAUGAUUUAUGGUAAAUGAGUGUUUUUAAAUAGGGUAUGUUCCCUUUUUGUCAUGAGCCUGGGUCUUUUGACCCAGCGUUUUGAGUUUUAAUUUAUUUUAAUGUUUAUAUUGUAUGUUUAAGUUCAUUAGGUUGGCGAAGGUUAUUUGUUUAUUAGAUCCCCUUUGUGUUUUCUACCACUGUAUUUAAGUUUCCCUCUCCCUUCAUGUGUUUCGUGCCUAGUGUCUUUUGUUGUCAAGUUUGUGUUGUCAUGUCUGCGUCUCAUGUUUCCUGUUUUAUUUUGAAGGUCUAUGUCCUAUGUCAGUAUAGUCAGCUUGUUAUGUCAGGUUAGUGUCAGCUGUUUCCCCAUGUGUUUCCACUUCCCCUCAUCACCCUUGUGUGUAUUCUGUUCAUUCGUUGUCAGGUCGUCUGUUGUUCCAUGCCACCUUUCCAGGGCCUUUCCAUGUUCAAGGUUUUGUUCUUUGUUCAGUAGUUAAUUUUCCCAGUUUAGUUCUAUUUAGGUUCUUUCCUGUGUGCCUCUAUGUUUUAUGUUUGUACUUUUUUUUUUUUUUUUUUUUUUUUUAAAUCAGCCAUAUUAAAUGGCUCGCUUUUUGUGAAUAUUCACGUUUUCUUCCUCGUUCUCUGUGUCUGCAUUUUUGGUCCUCUACGUCACUCCAUACAGUCUGCCUCCACCAGACCGUGACACUUUUAGAGUUUCUAUCAUCACACCUAUGGGAAAAAUACCACCCUCUCCAUAAAACAAACAAAACAAAUACCACCCCCCCACCCGAUGUUCAUAUACCUGCAUAUGGACAUCAAGUCAAAUGAUUUGUGUUAAAAUAGUUGGCCACAAGCAGUGAUGCCAAUUAUUUUGAAGUUGAGUAGAAUUUGUUGUAAUGUUCUAACAUGACAGAUACCAAUAAAUGAAAAUGGGUGAGGUGCUUUUAGGCAGUUCUUUACACUUGCCAAGUUGGGAAAUAACGCAAUACCUUGUCUUCUGUCAAGUCUUUACCUUCAGGCAUUUUUCCACUUCAAGGCAAUUUCCCUGCAAUAAACAGCAAAUAAAUAGUUCAUGUAUACAAAUAAAAAACUUGUGAGAUUGAAUCCCUUCUGAAAGAUGCAGUACGGCCUCAGAUGCAUGGCGUGGAUCUCAUGGUUGUGAAGAAUUUGGACCCAAAAUGCAGACUCCAGACAGGUUUAAAUGAGCAAAAACCAAGCCUUUAUUUACACGAGGCCGCAAG
ensembl:lncRNA